CCCACAUCGACCAAACGGAGAGGGGGUGAUGUGCCUUAUAUGGCACACCUCGCAUCCUCAUAGCACGAGGCCUUUUGGGAGCUCACUGGCUUCGGAGUUGUAAGAACUCCAAAGUUAAGCGAGUUGGAGGCUGGAGCAAUCCCAGGAUGGGUGACCACCCUGGGAAGUUGCUUCGUGAGCUCCCAGAAACAAAACCGUGCGGGCUGGUGAGAAUGUAGCCAGGCCCAAAGCGGACAAUAUCGUGCUACGGCGGAGCCGGUCCGGGGUGUGACAGUUUGGUAUCAGAGCCACUCUGCCGUGUGGUGCGAGUGUGCCGACGAGGACGUCGGAUCCCUUAAGGGGGGUGGAUUGUGAGAUCCCACAUCGACCAAACGGAGAGGGGGUGAUGUGCCUUAUAUGGCACACCUCGCAUCCUCAUAGUAGGAGGC
rnacentral:lncRNA from 1 species